rnacentral:rRNA from 1 species
AGUGAACGCUGGCGGUAGGCCUAAUACAUGCAAGUCGAACGGCCGCACAGUAAGCGCUUGCUCUUAAGGGUGGCGAGUGACGGACGGGUGAGAAAUACAUCGGAAUCUCCUUUUUCUGGGGGGAUAACGUAGGGACACUUACGCUAAUACCGCAUACGACCUACGGGUGAAAGCAGGGGAUCUUCGGACCUUGCGCGAUUCAAUGAGACGGUGUCGGAUUAGCUAGUUGACGAGGUAAAGGCCCACCAAGGCAACGAUCCGUAGCGGGUCUGAGAGGAUGAUCAGCCACACUGGAACUGAGACACGGUCCAGACUCCUACGGGAGGCAGCAGUGGGGAAUAUUGGACAAUGGGCGCAAGCCUGAUCCAGCCAUACCGCGUGAGUGAAGAAGGCCUUCGGGUUGUAAAGCCCUUUUGUUGGGAAAGAAAAGAAGCAGGUGAAUACCCCGCUGUUCUGACGGUACCCAAAGAAUAAGCACCGGCUAACUUCAUG